GACGAACGCUGGCGGCGUGCUUAACACAUGCAAGUCGAACGGAAAGGCCCUGCUUUUGUGGGGUGCUCGAGUGGCGAACGGGUGAGUAACACGUGAGUAACCUGCCCUUGACUUUGGGAUAACUUCAGGAAACUGGGGCUAAUACCGGAUAGGAGCUCCUGCUGCAUGGUGGGGGUUGGAAAGUUUCGGCGGUUGGGGAUGGACUCGCGGCUUAUCAGCGUGUUGGUGGGGUAGUGGCUUACCAAGGCUUUGACGGGUAGCCGGCCUGAGGGGGUGACCGGCCACAUUGGGACUGAGAUACGGCACAGACUCCUACGGGAGGCAGCAGUGGGGAAUAUUGCACAAUGGGCGGAAGCCUGAUGCAGCAACGCCGCGUGCGGGAUGACGGCCUUCGGGUUGUAAACCGCUUUCGACUGUGACGAAGCGUGAGUGACGGUAAUGGGUAAAGAAGCACCGGCUAACUACGUG
rnacentral:rRNA from 1 species